AAAAAGGAGCUAGAAGCCCGAAUAAACUCAUCAUAAUAUCAUGCAAGUAAAGCAACUAAUAAAAAGUCGUACCCAGUGCACAAGGCUCCCGCUUUACGCAGGGUCUGGGAGAGGUGAAUGUCGGCUAGCCUUACCCCCAUUUUAUGGAGAGGCUACUCCCAAGUCUCGAACCCGAGACCUACCGCUCAUGGGCGAAGGCAACUAAUAAGCCCGUAAAAAAACAAACGGCAUAUCCUUGCUAACGAAUACAAAUACAUCUUUAUGUGCUCAGACGGUCAGUGUACAGGCAUUAGAAAGUGUCCCAACAAAUCCCUACUUGACUAAAAAUGUACAAGAAUAUAAAAUCAAACUUUUAUUAAAGAAAAAUUAAACAAAAUAAACUUAAGAACGCUGCGAAAAUAAAGGCCAUCAUCGACAUGCCAGCUCCCAAAUCACACCGGAUUAGGAAUGCGAAGGCCUCCCCUUUUUUAUCAUUUUGUUUGAGGCUAGAGAAUUAAAUGCAGAAAUAGGGGAAGGGUUCCAAAUCUUUUUUGGUUCCUGUUCAAAAUUUCACCUAUACCUGAUUAAAAAAAAAUUGAUUUUCUUAUAACAUAGGAGACAUCUCUAUUUUCCCCGGGGGGAAUCCUUAGAAUUACCAUGAUCAACCAUUAACGAGUAAUCCUAAUGUGGGGAGGUGGAAUCUUCUAGUUCUUUCGAUUUGCCAUUCACAGCACAGAAUUAUAGAAACCAAGCUUGAAUGUAUGUCAUGAAACUCAACUUAAAGUUCAUGUUCACAUCAAUUUAGAAUUACAUAUUCAUUAACAAGUUACUUUGACAGUCUGAAAUCAUGACAUUCAACAACAAAUUACUGCCAAAGAAAAAACGUAAACCCCCCGUCACGCCCACAAAAACAAGCAUUG
rnacentral:lncRNA from 1 species